UCAAUUGGACCACCAAUUGUGGCAGUAUAAGGGUUCAGCCAUGCAGAGUUGGUGGAUGAAAUUUUGUGGCACUCGAAUUUGCCAUGGAUAUUUGUUUAUUUCUUGCAGUAAUAAUCCACAUGGCUACCUUACAACUUUCACAACAAGUGAAUGUAUAUUUAACGGUUCAUGAAGGAUUAAUUUAUGAUGAAUGACUCCCAAUUGUUGUAGAAAAAAUAAAAUGACUUUUGA
rnacentral:lncRNA from 1 species